rnacentral:rRNA from 1 species
AACGAACGCUGGCGGCAGGCUUAACACAUGCAAGUCGAACGCCCCGCAAGGGGAGUGGCAGACGGGUGAGUAACGCGUGGGAACGUGCCCUUCGCUUCGGAAUAGCCCCGGGAAACUGGGAGUAAUACCGGAUACGCCGUAUUGGAAAAGAUUUAUCGGCGAAGGAUCGGCCCGCGUUAGAUUAGCUAGUUGGCGGUGUAAUGGACCACCAAGGCUACGAUCUAUAGCUGGUCUGAGAGGAUGAUCAGCCACACUGGGACUGAGACACGGCCCAGACUCCUACGGGAGGCAGCAGUGGGGAAUCUUGGACAAUGGGCGCAAGCCUGAUCCAGCCAUGCCGCGUGAGUGAAGAAGGCCUUAGGGUUGUAAAACUCUUUCGCCGGAGAAGAUAAUGACGGUAUCCGGAGAAGAAGCCCCGGCUAACUUCGUGCCAGCAGCCGCCGUAA